rnacentral:rRNA from 1 species
UACGAGUGCCCCAAGCGUUAUCCGGAAUUAUUGGGCGUAAAGGGUGUGUAGGCGGUUUGGCUAGUCGGUGGUUAAAGCUCUCAGCUUAACUGGGAAAAGGCGACCGAAACGGCCAAACUAGAGGAGGUGAGGGGUCUAUGGAACUCAUGGUGUAGGGGUGAAAUCCGUUGAUAUCAUGGGGAACACCAAAAGCGAAGGCAGUAGACUGGCACCUAACUGACGCUGAAACACGAAAGCGUGGGGAUCAAAC